UACUGUAAGAAUAAGCACCGGCUAAUUCCGUGCCAGCAGCCGCGGUAAUACGGAAGGUGCAAGCGUUAUCCGGUUUUAUUGGGUUUAAAGGGUGCGUAGGCAGCUUAUUAAGUCAGUUGUGAAAUCCUAGUGCUUAACGCUAGAACUGCAAUUGAUACUAUUAGGCUUGAGUUAAGAAUAGGUAAGUAGAAUUUAUGGUGUAGUAGUGAAAUGCUUAGAUAUCAUAAGGAAUACCAAUAGCGUAGGCAGCUUACUGGUCUUUAACUGACGCUGAGGCACGAAAGCGUGGGGAACAAACAGGAUUAUGAUACCCUGGUAGUCCACGCCGUAAACGAUGAUCACUCGGUAUACAUAAAUUUAUGUGUGUCUAAGCGAAAGCGUUAAGUGAUCCACAA
rnacentral:rRNA from 1 species